ensembl:lncRNA
AUGAAGAUGUUGCUGCUGUCUGUGAUCCUCGUGCUCGUUACCCAGCAUGCCUCUGGAGUGGGGGAGAUUGAGGAGAAGGAGGGGAUUGAGGGGGAGGAGUCUGUGGUUCUGCCCUGUGAGGUUCCUCCUGAUGUCACUGUUAAAUCUGUGGAAUGGAGCCGCUAUGAACUCAAUCCCUCCACUGUUCAUCUACGUCAAACCAUCAAUAAUACAGAGAGAGAUGUUCUUAAAGACCAGAACCCGUCCUACAGAACCCGCACAGAACUACAGACGGACGCUCUGAAGACUGGAGACGUCAGCCUCACUCUGAAAACCCUUCAACUGCCAGACAGAGGAAUGUACAGCUGCACCGUCCGUUGGGGUAUGGGAGAGAGGAAACAGACUCAAGUUUACCUGAAGAUCAUCAGCAAGAGAGAAGUCCGCAAUGUGGUGAAGGUGGAUUCAGGGGUGGAGUCUGUCCUGCUGCCCUGCAAAACCACAGUUCACCUGUCUGAGGACGUCACAGUGGAGUGGACGAACAGUAACAACUGGAAGGUCCAUGUGUAUCAGAACAGUUCUGAUCAGCCUGAAGAACAGCACCAGUAUUACAGAGACCGAACAGAGAUGAAGAAAGAGGAACCUGGAGACCUCAGUCUGACCCUGAAAUACCCCAAAGACAGAGACAGUAAGACCUACACCUGCACCGUCUACAACAGGGAGAGAGAGAUCCUGAUGGAGAAACAAGUGCUGCUCAAGGUCAAAGAGAGAACCAGUAUCAAACCCACUGAUGGAACUCCUCUGAUGACUGUUAAAUCUGUCUGAUGGAUCAAUCUUUGAUUAUUGAUCUGAUCGGACUCUGGAUCAGAGAGAAUGGACGACGGAUGAAGACAUGAGGACGCUUUGUCUCACAGACUAUUGAUGAGUAUUGAUGAUCAGUCAGUGUGAUGUCACAUGUUGAUGAGUUUAGAUGUUUUGUACUCUGACAGAGGUCUCACUCUGGAGGAACCUGUUUGUAUUUUUGCUUUGAUAUAUUCUCUACAGCCAGCUUCAUGUAUCCAUUAUAUAUCAGCCUCUAACAGUCCUGUUCAGGCUCAUUCAGACUACCUUCACACUAAGCUGGCCUUCAUUGGUUGCAGUGAGAUCCAAUCAGAGCGGAGCUGUCAGACUGCAUAUUGAUCCUCCCAUUGAGCUCCAUGUGGAGGCUGUUACUGUCAGUGUGGUGUGAAUCUGUUCUGCUGAGAGGAAUCUGCUCAUCCACUGUUUCCUCUCUGUUCAUACAGAGAUAAUGAGACUCAUAUCAGCCUCAAAGUGGAGCCGUGGGUUUCACAUGGUCCGUUUAGUGUGGACGUAGUCUCACAGCAAUAUCCUGUUUGUAUGGCUGCAGUAAUCAAUAAUCAAUGAUCAUUUCAGACACUUUGUACCAAAGUUCAGUGUGAAAUUGUCCUGAGCUUUAAUGCCCCGAUCCCAUCCGGUGUUUCAGCUGUUUUUACUCCCAAAGCUUUCAGGUGCAGCCGUCAUCCACUCUGAGCUCCCCUCUCCCUGCAGAGCUGAUACAUCGGAUGGAUUUCAGUGCCUUUAAUGUGCCUGAAGUGAUCACUGCGCACUGUAUUCUCUAAAUACCAAUACAAGUAUCAGAUAAUCAAUAUGAAGUGACUGGGAUCAGACCAGAGGCUACAGAGAGCUGAUGGGAUCAUCCCUAGUUUGUUGGUGUAACUGUUACAGUUGAGCUUAUUUGCUGAUGAUGAUGAUGUUUUCGUAGGACUCUUGCUUUGCUGUUUGGGUUGAGUCCUCCAGGUUAACUGCUCUUAUUGUUCGUGGUUUGGAUGAUCAGAUCAAUCAAUGUAUUGAUGAAACAGCGUAUUGAUUGUCAGGAACCACUGUGUGCUUUCAGCUGCCAACCCAUAAUAAAGUGUAACCAAAGAGUGACUGUUGUCCAUCUGUAAUGCGAUCCUGUGAGGAUGAAAUAACUUUAGUCUUCAGUCUCUGAACCAACAAUCAAUAGUCGAAGAGGGGUCAAGAAAGCGAUGUGGGCUUCAUAGAUAACUGGGGGACAUUCUGGGGACA